AAAAUCUGAGUGAUUUAGCAGCCAGCCAGUCACCCGUGCUUUGGAUCAGCGAACGGCAGCCACUCUUUCCACAUCCCCGGAUCAACCAAGCGCUGCCUUCCAAUGCCACCUGCGAUUUGGUUAUUUAUAGACGUAAUGGAUUACCACACAGGUCCUCAAGCCACUGCUGCAGCGUGACUCUGCUCUAGCACCUCACCAAGCAGAAAGCUAGAGAGCUAGCAAUGGCGCCCACCGUGAUGGCCUCGUCGGCCACCUCCGUUGCUCCCUUCCAGGGGCUCAAAUCCACCGCCGGGCUCCCCGUCAGCCGCCGCUCCAACAGCGCCGGCCUCGGCAGCGUCAGCAACGGUGGAAGGAUCAGCUGUAUGCAGGUAUGAACAAGCCAACAUAGGAUCAGUACAAGCUUAAUUGGUAUCUUCAUCCUCAUCACACACACAGGAAAUUAAAGAGAGCUCAUCAACUUUAACCCAUAUGAUUUCUCUGCGCAGGUGUGGCCGAUUGAAGGCAUCAAGAAGUUUGAGACCCUGUCGUACCUGCCACCGCUCACGGUCGAGGACCUCUUGAAGCAGAUCGAGUACCUGCUCCGGUCCAAAUGGGUGCCUUGCCUCGAGUUUAGUAAGGUCGGGUUCGUCUACCGUGAGAACCACAGGUCUCCUGGGUACUAUGAUGGCAGGUACUGGACCAUGUGGAAGCUGCCUAUGUUCGGAUGCACUGAUGCCACCCAGGUGCUCAAGGAGCUCGAGGAGGCCAAGAAGGCAUAUCCAGAUGCAUUUGUUCGCAUCAUCGGCUUCGACAACGUCAGGCAGGUGCAGUUGAUUAGCUUCAUCGCCUACAAGCCCCCGGGUUGCGAGGAGUCCGGCGGAAACUAAGCUAGUUGGCAAGCCAGCAAGCUCACUCGUGAGCUCUAUACAGAGGAGACUCGAUUGAUCUAUUCGGUUUUGGCAGCUUUGAACGUUCGAAUCGGGCCACCUUGCAUUGGUUUCCCCUUUCCCAGUUUGUUGCUUCAGUUUUUUUUUUUCAUCUUGUUUGUGUCAACAUCAGCUGUGUAUGUAUGUACAUAUGUAUGUAUCAACAUAGGUUGAAGAGCAUGCAUAUGUGAAUGCUAGCACCAGGCUAAUCAUAUGCACAUACACAUCGUAAUAAAUAUAUUGUACAAAUCGUCAAAAACGAUACUUAUAUGUAAUACUAUACUCAGACCAAACUUGAUACCUCUGGUUUCCAUUUCAAUUAUGUGUGGUAGGACAUGCAUAGCAUUGUUGGGAAUUACUUAAUUCGUUUCCAUGCAAACAGUUCAAAGAUACACGCGCGCAAAUACGGGCGCCCUCGUUCACAUAUGUAAAUUAUUAUGUAUACAUAUAACUCUAAUCAGAUAAAAUUCAAAAUGAACUGCGAGUCCAAGCUCGAUCAUCCUGAAAUUGCCUCCUCUUCUACGAUUCUAUACGUAGCACUCAUUUCUGAAUUGAAACUUUUGUGAGCUUUGGCUUUUGAUCCUCGGGUGUUCAUCUAUUGAUGCAUACAUUCAUUUGAACUAUAUUUAAGCCAAACUUAUCUAACGCAGUUGAAUUGUCGCCUUCUGUCAUUUCAAGGAAAUUUGUUGCUUUCUGAACCUUUGUGCUAAAGUUGGAAUUUUAGUCCAUUGUUUUGGCGUCCAAGAUUUUUUUUCCCACAUCAUGACAAUUUUUAAUUUAAGAAACACGUUAAAUAAUAAUUUUAUAAUAUAUCCUCAUAGAUCUAUUUGCAAACAUAUAGACCCCACAAACAAAUUAUUUCUGUACCAUUUGCAAUUCCAAAUUUGCCAACAUUAGCUAAUAGUAGUGUGUUGUUCUGAUUUAGUUCAAAAAUACCUGCUAACGAUAAUAAAAUUUAAAAGGGUAUUCCGUCGCAAACCUGAACUGUACCAAUUUUGAAUAAUGUACUCCCUCCGUUUCAGAAUGUAAGUCAUUCUAGUAUUUCUCAUAUUCAUAUUGAUGUUAAUAAAUCUAGAUAGAUAUAUAUGUCUAAGAUUUAUUAACAUCAAUAUGAAUGCGGAAAAUACUAGAAUGACUUACAUUGUGAAAUGGAGGAAGUACAUAAUAAAUGAUUAAUUAAUACUGAACAGAGAAACAAAAGUUGUCAUCAUCUUAAUAGUCCUUUCUCAGUGUCCAACUGUUCAGGAGAUAGGGUUAUGAUAAUACUAGACCACAUAUGUCCAGUUUCAAAGGAUAGGUUCAUAAACUAGACCACAAGUGUCCCAACUACAGGAUUAGAUAGGAAUCAACUUGUGAUGCCUAGAAGACGUACGUAAAUGACAAGGACGUAGGAAAACACACGGUUCAUUCCAUGUUUCUGGGUAGUGGACAUAUCAUAGAUACCAGCAUAGGAAGUCACGCAUUUGCACAACUAUAACCAUCCUAAUUAUACAUUAUAUAUAUGAAAAUAUACUAAUGAUAUUAGAUGAACGAAAAAUCUGUUUUCAUUACUGUCGAGAAGUAAUCCUCUCUAGCGGGUGGUCGUGAGACCCCUCUUUGUGAGUUCGGCCGGGGGAGAUGGCGCGAUGAUCAAGAGACUUCCACUUGAGAUCUAACUACUGGAUCGUUCACGAGUAUGCAUGGAAGACCAAGGAUUAUACAGGUUCGGGCUGCUGGGAAGCGUAACACCCUACCCUGAGAGCCCGAGGGGUGUGACGUGGCACCCCGAGCCCCCUCAGCCACCUCAGCGCUAUCCGAGGGGCGGGGGAAGGCGAGGCGCAUGGCUACGUGACUAAACGGGAAGGAUACUUCCCUUUACUGUGUGUACCCCCGGGCCUAUAUCACCGACAAUUAUAGUCACACUUUUGUGCAACCACAACCGCCAUCUAUAUUUAUAUUAUUUAGCUUGAUUUAUAUGUUGUAUAUGAUAACAAAUCACCCACCAUAAUAUAUUGGGAACUUUAAAUUCAUAUGAUAAUUUAAGUUUACAUAACUUUAUCAUUAUUUUUCACUGUCUUCACCGCUGCACCAGUCGCCGCCUUUUCACCACCUCCACUGUUACAUGACCCUUAUUCUCCCCUUAGUUUUCCAUUGGUGUCUGUUUUAUAGCUUAAGCACAUAGAUACAUUUCAUCCUGUAUAUUUCAACUAAUACAAUACAUUAAAUCAUAAGUUUGAAAGUCAUCCUCAAAACAGAGCAAUUUGAAUGGUAUUUCCAAACAUUGGUUCUGCUCUUUAAAUACCAAGCAAAUCAAACUGACUACUACCAGGCUAGAAUAAGCCAAUCAAAUUGGUGUCACAGGCUGUUUGCUAUGCUGAUCUUUUCAGCUUGUAUCCAAGCGUCAAACAGUUCUGAAUGACCCAAAAUCUGUUAUGCCAGUAGAAUAUUACUCAGUCUUCCAAGUUAAGAGUCAAACAAAACAGGGAAAUGAGAACAAAAUUUCAACUAUUGUACUUCUGUCCACCAUGUAUCCAAAAUUUCAACUAUCGUACAUUCCUUUUCUCGAACAACAAAUAUGUGCCGAUUGUAGCAAGUAUUGUUCAGCAUGACACUGAUGUUGUCUGAAGAUCUUGAUUCAUCUGAGAUAAAGAUCGAAGAAGUUCAGACUUAAAAACACCAGUACGUAAUAUACAAUAUAUCUCAGAUGAAUCGUACGCAAUGGCUAUUAAGACUUUGUCCAUGAUUCAGUCUUCAACCAAGACCAUUCCAUGUAUAUAUUUUCCAAUACCAGUUUCAGUUAUUAAAAUCCAUAGUUGUGGAAGAAACAUUUAAAUAUGCACAUUCCAACUACUCCCUCCGUUCCCUAAUAUAAGAGAUUUUGACAUUUUACUUGCACUGUUUGACCACUCGUCUUAUUUAAAAAAUGUGUGCAAAUAUCAAAAACGAAAAGUUGAGCUUAAAGUACUUUGGAUAAUAAAGUAAGUCACAAAUAAAAUAAAUAAUAAUUCCAAAAUUUUUUGAAUAGGACGAGCGGUCAAAUAGUGUAAGCAAAAUAUCAAAAUCCCUUAUAUUAGGGGACAGAGGGAGUAUUUAGAAGAGGAGGUGUAUUCGCACUCAUAAAUUAUUGAUGUUAAUGGGCUAACGACAGAUCAUUUUAAUCAAGAUUUCAAAUUCAGAAACGGGCAGUACUACCAUAAGUUUGAGGAAAUUGUUCAUUAGAAGGAUUGAUCACCUUACGGCAUUGCAUGCUACCUUACAGCAUUGCAUGCUAUUCGCUGCAGUCAUGUAGCAAUUCACCAACACCGCCAUCAUCUUCACAGUUGCAUGGGAGAGGUGGGGGGCAUGUCUUGGGCAGCCAGAAAACAUCUGUGAGAAGCAGUAAUCCUUGGGCCUCUACUAUAGCUAUCAAGAAAGUGCAGAAGCAAUGAACAUGCUAUGCAUGGCCUGCCAUACGUUCCUGAUAUCAGUUUUAAAUUCCUUGGUAGAUUGUACUUGAUACAUACUCUUAGUUUCCUUGGGCUAAUGAGGCAAUCUGAUGACUCAUUGUAGACAGUAAGCUAAUGUGAUUACAAAUAUACUGGUCAAGUGGUCAUUAUGAAAAAAGUUCAUACUAAAAAAUCAAAUCAUGGUCAACGUUUAUAUUAGUCAACCUGCAUGUAGUAUCUUCUACUUCGUCCCUUUCAGUUACAAGACAUUUUGACUUUAGUCAAAGUCAAACUGUUUCAAGUUUAACUAAAUUUAUAGAUAAAUAUAGUAAUAUUUAUAAUACUAAAUUAGUUUAAUCAAAUCAAUUAUUGAAUAUGUAUUUUCAUAAUUAAUUUGUUUUGGGUUAAAUAUGUUACUACUUUUUUCUAUAAACUUAAUCAAAAUUAAAGCAGUUUGAUUUUGACCAAAGUCAAAACGUCUUAUAACCUGAAACAGAGGGAGUACUAAAUACCUCGAUUUAACAGUUCUACCUUUUUUGUAAGAAUAAUAUGACUAAUUAUUAUACUUGUUGUCACAUUUGCCAUUUGAACUUUUGUUAAACAUAUCAAAUGCCUAGGAAUGCAUCUCAGUAUAUCAAAUUAGGUACAUAUACAUGUAUUGAUAUGAUUUUUACUCAAUGACAACUGUCCAGACAUUAUGUUUCUUAAUAAGUAAAUAAGAAUCUGGUACCAAUUUCAUUAAUUUACUUGGCAAAUUAUGUAGUAGCUUACAGUAACUGUUUGUCACAACAUCUUCAUCAGCACUGUAAAUUUUUCUAUGUAAAAUCCAUCUAAUGGAGCAACUUUUUUGAUUGAUUAUCGCAAAAUGUUAAGAGCCAUCAUCAGAACAUAUGCAGUAUAAUAUCCCUAUUUAAAUAGAUUCUUGUGUCAAUUUUGACAGUUUACCUUUGAAUCAAGCUGUAGCGUUGAUGUGCUGUAUAAUCGCACAUCACUGAAAACGUGGUAGACAUUAACAGCCGCUGGUUGUGGAGAGGAGCAAGAGGAAGGGGUCGUCGUUGCCGUGGCUGUCGGUUGAAAUGCUGUGCAGUGACCAGAUUUAGUUCUCCCAGACCUCUGAAUGGCGGGAUCCAGAGGUGCACGCCGACGGGGAUGACGUCGGGGGGUGCACGAGAAGGAUAGCUUGUUCCACCCCUAACCAUCCAUUUGGGGGGAGGGGGGGGGAUAGGAAAAAAGUGGGGGAAGUAGAGACGCAGCGACACCGGAGAAAGAGGAGGCGACACUAGCUAGGGAGGAGGACGCGAUGACAGGGGAUGUGGAGGAAGCGGCGGUGUGGGUGUGGAGGAGGUGGUGAAGGCACGGUGAGCGCGCGCGGAGCAAGAGCGGCGUCUCAGCCUCCUGGCUUCUCCAUUUAAUUCGGAGAAAAAGAGGUAUUUUUGUUCAUGGAACAUUGAUAGAGAAAAAAGCCGACUAUUGGAUUUGAACCGAUGACCCUCGCAUUACAAAUGCGAUGCUCUAACCUCUGAGCUAAGUGGGCUUACAUAACAGAAAUAGUGUAACAAAUAGAAAUAUGUAUAGUAUAGGAAAUCCGUAAAAUGUCAUAUCUUAAUUAUUAAUCUUAGCUAUUAACUAGUUCGAAAUUGGAAGUUCUACUUAGAAAACAAUACUAGAACUUCAUAAAAUAAAGUUAGAUAGAUUUUUUUGAACUUUCUUUUUUCUCUAAUUCGCAAAUCUAUUUUUCUAAUAGAAUCUAUUCCAAUUUCUAUAUUGAAUUUGAUUUUAGAUAUUUUUAAUUUGAUAUGGCUCGGACGAAUAAUCUAAUACAUGGAAAAGAAUAAAUAAUAUAUAUACGAAAACAUAAUAAAGAGAACAUGCGAAUUUCUUGUAUUUUCAGUCCAUCAUUAUAGACAUUUUUUGAGAUAUUUUGUUUUUUUUGUUAUUUGCUAAUAAUUUAAUGAUUAAUAUUUCACUAAGGAGAACAUAGAAUCAUAGCAAAUGAAAUUGCUAAUUCUGAUUAGCAAAAAAAAAGAAUGAAUAUCAAGCGUUAUAGUAUGAUUUUGAAUACUCUAAAAAAGGAACGCGGUAGGUGGGGGAGAGAAAAACCUUGGGAUAUAUUGAUUCGCAUUGAAUUGCAAAUACAUCAACGAUAGAAUCAAUUCAAUGCUGAAUUGCAAUAAGCGGAGUCUCACAACUAGAGACGAACCGCUAGACUACAUAGAGUAAUGAAUCCAACGAUUCAAAAAAAACUAACAGAUGGAGGAAAUUGCACAAGAAAUCCUGGUCUCAAAGAAAAAGAAAAUGGGGAUAUGGCGAAAUCGGUAGACGCUACGGACUUGAUUGUAUUGAGCCUUGGUAUGGAAACCUGCUAAGUGGCAAUUUCCAAAUUCAGAGAAACCCUGGAAUUAAAAAAGGGGCAAUCCUGAGCCAAUCCAUGUUUUGAGAAAACAAGUGGUUCUCGAACUAGAACCCAAAGGAAAAGGAUAGGUGCAGAGACUCAAUGGAAGCUGUUCUAACGAAUCGAGUUAAUUACGUUGUGUUGCUAGCGGAACUCCCUUCUAAAUUAGGGAAAGAAGGGCUUUCGAAAUCUAAUACACACGUAUAGAUACUGGCAUAGCAAAUGAUUAAUCACAGAACUCAUAUCAUAAUAUAGGUUCUUUAAUUCUUUUUUAAAAUGAAAAUAGGAAUGAUUAUGAAAUAGAAAAUUCAUAAUUUUUUUAGAAUUGUUGUGAAUCCAUUCCAAUCGAAUAUUGAGUAAUCAAAUCCUUCAAUUCAUAGUUUUCGAAAUCUUUUUAAAAGUGGAUUAAUCGGACGAGGAUAAAGAGAGAGUCCCAUUCUACAUGUCAAUACUGACAACAAUGAAAUUUCUAGUAAAAGGAAAAUCCGUCGACUUUCUAAGUCGUGAGGGUUCAAGUCCCUCUAUCCCCAAACCCUCUUUUAUUCCCUAACUCUAGUAUUUAUCCUGUUUUUUUUAUUAAUAGGUUUAAGAUUCAAUGGAAUACAUUUCUUUUUUAUUAUAGUAUCGGCAAGGAAUGUCGAUUAUUAACUCGAUAUUUAAAUAUUAUUAAAUAGGCUUUCUUUGUACAAUGCAUAGGACUGACCCCUCCCCAUUUCCAAAUUUUGGAUAUUGACAUAGAUACAAAUACUCUACUAGGAUGAUGCACAAGAAAAGGUCAGGAUAGCUCAGUUGGUAGAGCAGAGGACUGAAAAUCCUCGUGUCACCAGUUCAAAUCUGGUUCCUGGCACAGAAAAAAGGGAUCUUCCGAAUAGGUAUUGAUACAAAUACCUCGAGAUGGGUUGGGAUACAUAUUCGUUAAUAAUAUAGAUAGAGUAUGAUUUUUUCAUCUAAGUAGAUAAAUCUCUAAAUAGAGGCACUUCUUUUUCUGCAUUUUUGCAUUUCUUAAUUUUCUAUUCCGCUAUUCCGACAAAUAUUUUUUUAUUCUUGCUUAUCUUAUCUUACUUUCCUAGUUGUUCUAAGUGAUGCACGUGGUACAAAGUUCGUGGUAGGGAACUUCUUUGAGUCAUCAUAUUUUUCUGUUCAUACGAAGGAAAUGAAUAUGUGAUUUUCCAACGAAAUGAAGCCCUUUUUUGCUUAGUCUAUCUGAACCUUUUGUAUAAUUGGAAUUAAUUAGAAUGUAAUAGGUAUUCUGUUUCAUCUAGGAACAGAGCGUAAAAAUAUUCCUUGACUUGCAUAAAAUCUGGAGUUGUGUUGUAUAAGUGAGCAUGAAUUUCUUAUCAUUCAAUGAGCAUCUUGUAUUUCAUAGAAAUUGGGGGUUAUAUAGUCCUUACGUAAGGGCCAGCCUAUCCAACUUUCAGGCAUUAGGAUACGUUUAAGGCGUGGAUGAUUAUCAUAAGAGAUUCCCACCAUAUCAAAAGAUUCGCGUUCUUGAAAAUCGGAACUUCUCCAAAUCCAGAAGACAGAUGGGAUUCUAGGAUUAUCCUUUUGGGCAAAGACUUUUAUGCAUACUUCUUCUGGGUUAUCUAUACCAUACUGUAUUCUCGUAAGAUGAUACACGCUAGCUAAAGAUCCACCGGGUGCAACGUCAUAAGCACAUUGGGAACGUAAAUAAUUGUAACCAUAUACAUAUAAAAUGACAGCAAUGGAAUCCCAAUCCUCUGCUUUUAUUUGCAAAGUCUCUAUUCCUCGAUGAUCGAAGCCCAAAGAUCUAUGAACCACCUCAUGUUUGACUAGCCAAUUAGAUAACCAACCCUGCUGCAUUAUCUUGAUCUCUCCUCCUUUGUAUAAAUAUUUCGCAGUUCGAAUGCAAGUUUGAAAUAUUGCCCUGCUCUUUCUUUUUCGGCACAAAGAGCUCCUCCUAAUUCACUAAUUUGUAGGAAGAUACUGGACUUUUGGAUUUGAAAAAAGUUUCAGAAGAUAUGUCUAAAGUAGAUGGUGAUUGAUAGAGCAAUUCUUGCUCAUAAGUUCCAGUAUUAGUACUGCGCCGAACAUAAAGCUUGUGGCUGGUAGUAAAACAUCGAUUUUUCUUUUGAGAUAGAGUUCGAUCCUCAACUAUUUCUCGCGAUAUCUUCUUACGAAGUUUUGUUAGGGCAUCUAUAACAGCCUCUGGUUUAGGUGGGCAACUCGGCAAGUAGACGUCCACAGGAAUUAACUUAUCAACUCCCCGAACAGUACUAUAGGAAUCCGUACUGAACAUUCCACCAGUAAUAGUACAAGCUCCCAUAGCAAUGACGUAUUUUGGUUCAGGCAUUUGCUCAUAUAAUCUCACUAAAGAGGGAGCCAUUUUCAUUGUUACUGUACCGGCUGUUAAAAUUAGGUCCGCUUGCCUAGGACUUGAUCUUGGUACCAAUCCAUAACGAUCAAAGUCGAAUCGUGAGCCUAUUAAUGAAGCAAAUUCAAUGAAACAACAACUGGUACCAUAUAGAAGGGGCCAUAAACUAGAGAGUCUUGACCAAUUUGAAAGAUCUUUUAGUGUAGUUGAAAUAACGGAAUUGGAACUUGUUUGGUCAAGUAGGGGAAACUCAAUCAAACUCAUAACUGUCUUAAUGGAAUCUUUUCCUUCUUUUUUUUGUCUGAAUAUUCAGUUAAGACCAUUCCAAGGCUCCUUUUCGCCAUGCAUAAACUAAACCAACAACUAGGAUAAGCACGAAAAUGAAAGCUUCGAUAAAAACGGAUAUACCCAAUACGUCGAAACUCAUUGCCCAAGGGUAGAGAAAGACCGUUUCCACAUCAAAAACAACAAAAACUAGCGCAAACAUGUAAUAGCGUAUUCGGAAUUGUAACCAAGCCCCCCCCAUGGGUUCUAUACCCGAUUCAUAACUAGAAAGCUUCUCUGGUCCUUCACGAACCGGAGCUAAAAGUGCUGAAAUCCAAAAUGCUAAAAUAGGAAUAAGGCUUGCUAUUAUUAGAAAUGCCCAAAAAAUAUCAUAUUCGUGAAGCAGAAACAUAAAUGUACUCCCAUUAAUGUGGAAUAGGCGGAACUGAAUUAGUCAAUUCAAGUCAGCAUUGUCAAUUUAUACAGAAUUUCUCUCUUUUCCUCGGUGAAACAAGGAUCGGUUUUUCUCAAACCAAAGGGCUUAGUUUAGCCUUUGUUUCCUCUUUGCCACGUCUUCUUUAAAGAUUCAUCCAAUGGAAUCCCGACUCCCUUUCUUUUUUAUUUCCUUUCUAUUUAGGUAUGGUGGAGACAUAAUUCUUAUAGAAACAAAACUCUCUCGCUUCACGUUGUCUCAUUUUCUCUAGAAUCUCUAGAAAAAGGAAUAAAAACGAAAAUACUACGAAUUAGAGCCUAAUUAAGAUAGGAUGACUAAUGUAUGCAGCCUAAUGAGGAGUAAUUCUAUAAAAAUAAAGAACUCUAUUUCAGAACGUAGAUUGAUUUAGAUUUAGGUAAUCUAUAGAUAUAGAUAAGCAAAGUAAUAUACUUCAAACAAAGUAGGAAUUUGCAAGAUGGAGAACAUCUUGCAGUUGAUUUGAUAGAAAUUCAUUUUUCUUUUCCUGUCUCUAUAAUUUUCGAUGAAUGAGCCUCUGGUAAUCCUUUUCUCUCUAUUUUAUGGCGCAGGCGCCUGUCCAGUCUAUAAACAAGUACUAAUAGGGAAAUGAAAACUAUACUAAAGGAAACGUAGGAUAUCUCUCCUAAAAUCUAAAAAAGGACAUAUUAGGGCUAUACGGAUUCGAACCGUAGACCUUCUCGGUAAAACAGAUCAAACGGAUUAUUAUCGAAAUGAUUCGAACUGUUUCAAAGACCCAACAUGCAUUUUUUUGCAUUGGGCUCUUUUAUCAACUGAUAGAAAGAUCAGUUAGUCCACCAUAGUUUUUCUUUACGGAAAGAUAAUGAGAUGGCUCCCUGCGCUCUGAUUGAUUAUUUGUAUUAUGAUCUAUCUAAGAGCAAUACCAAAGUGUUUCAAAGGAGGAUUACCUUGACUUAGGUCUGCCUCCGGCCUAAAUUAAAUCAACCUAAGUGAAAUAGAGUCUCUAUCGUUCCGCUACAAGAGUUGACUAUGAGACUUCAUACACCUUAAAGUUCAUAGAACGAAAAGAAUUUUUUUGGAGGCCCUUAUCCUCAUUAAGCCUAGCAUUUAGUGGGCUGGAUAUUUACCUUAUCAACUAGCAAAUCAAUAAAGGUUCUAUUUGUUUAGGCACCUGGAUUGGUACCUGAAUCGGACUGAACCAACUAUUUGUCAGGCGACUGUUCUCCUAUUCUCUCGAAUCCAUGAAGUAAGACAUUGAUUUUGCAAGAAGAUCCACUAUGUUCAUUGCAUAAUAAGCUCCCAUGAAAAGCAUUGGCGCACGUGUAAACGAGUUGCUCUACCGAACUGAGCUAUAGCCCUUGUCAGAGAUAUCUUAAUAUAUAGAGAAUUUCUUGUCAAGAUGAAUAUUCUCUAAUAGUAGAGGAUAUCCUUUGAUCUGUUUACUAUAAUAACAUACCAAUAACUAAGCGGUAUUUGCUUAUAAAAAGGAUUCGAUCUAUAAUCAAUCGAAGUAAAGGGUCUUCCUUUGUGGUGAUAAAUUGCCUACUUAACUCAGUGGUUAGAGUAUUGCUUUCAUAUGGCGGGAGUCAUUGGUUCAAAUCCAAUAGUAGGUAGGUAGAUAGAAAAAUUACUAGAUAGCAUUGGCCCUACUUCGCUUCGCUAUCUAAUAAUUUUUUCUACCCCUCUUCCCUUUUUCUUUGUAUCAACUAAACCGUUGGGUUGUCUUCAAUUAGAUGGGGGAAUCCAAUUAACAGCCUCGACUCGUAUCCUAGCUCGUCUGAGAGCUACCUUCGCUUCAACCAAUUCUUUCGUACCCUCAGCUCUACUCACGUUAGCUUCGGCUAUUUCAAGUGCCUGUUGAGCUUCUUCCGGAUCAAUGUCACUACCCAGUUCCGCAUCAUUUCCUAAAAUGAUGAUCUCAUUAUUAACUAUUCUGGCAAAACUGCUCCACAGAACCGCCGUUAACCAUUUAUCGUUGAGGAGGCGUAUUCUCAAGGGACCCAUAUCUACAGCUGUGUUAAUGGGGGCGUGGUUUGGUAAUACGCCAAUUUGGCCACUAUUAGUAGAUAAAAUGAUUUCUUUCACUUCACAAUUCCAAAUAAUUCGCUUAGGAGUCAGUACAUAAAGAUUUAAUUUCAUUUCUUCAAUUUGUUCUCCUCUUCUAAGUUUAUAGCUUUCGUGCUAGCUUCAUCGAUGUUACCCACCAAAUAAAAAGCCUGUUCGGGUAGGCCGUCUAAUUCUCCGGAAAGGAUUAGUUGAAAUCCCCUAAUAGUUUCUGCAAGACCAACAUACUUUCCCGGAGAACCGGUAAAAACUUCUGCCACAAAAAACGGUUGUGAUAAGAAGCGCUCAAUUUUUCGUGCUCUUGCUACAGUUAAACGAUCCUCCUCCGAUAAUUCAUCCAACCCAAGAAUUGCGAUAAUGUCCUGAAGUUCUUUGUCAAUGGCUCUAAGUAAGAAAAGCUUUAUCAGAUUCUAUUUUCCGAAGUUGCACCUACAACUAUUCAUUGAAAAGAAUCCUACUCUUAUGGGUAAAUGCUCAAUAUCCAAGUGGGCUUACAAAUUUGAUCAUGAUCAAUUGCUUUGUGGAUUGUCUCGCGUCUCUUGAUUAGUUGGUAUUUAUCCCCCCCAAUAUUGCAAGUUUCUUACGUCCAAACAAAGUAUUUACUUGUUACUAAUAAAAAAUCAAAAAGUUUAGACUACGUUCUUCCUUAGAUCCCUUCUUUUACUCCGAUAGUAUUGCAUAUCGCAAUCGAUGCAAAGAAAAUGAAUGCAUUUCCAUACUAUAAUAAAAAGUAAGUGUAAUAAAUAGAGAAUUGGAUCAUGUCACAUGACUUAUUCCACUCCUGCCAUCUCGGAGUCCAGGGAAGCGCACAGAUAGAGCAAGGAAGAGAAGGGGGGAAAAAUGAAAAGAAAAAUAUGGGAUGUGGAAGGAUCCCAUUGUGAAAAGAUGUUUUCGGAAGGAUCGCGGGGAGGUUUCACCGUUUGAGAGAUCCAACAGCUCGCAUUGUCUGGUGUAGAAAUCAGACGGCCCAUAAUUUCUUGAAGACGUGGGUUUAUUGAGUUUUACUUUUCACUUAGUUAGAUAGGCAUUCAUUAGCUAGCCACUCUUAGCACCUAAGAGCAGUCCUACUAUUAGCCAGCUAUAGAUAUAUUUUAACGAGCUAAAAGAUGAGAGAGAAGAAUAGUGGGUUACAGAUCUGUAGCCAGCUGCAGCACGGACUCCAAGACGCAGUGUGUGUAUGACAGGUGGGACCAUAUAUCAAUAGUAUAGUAAGCAACUAUUGUAUGAAUUGGCUAUUAGAUUGGCUAUAGAUGAAUUAGAGCUAGUAGUUGGUUAUACUAUUAAAUUUGCUCUAAGAGGCAUCAUGUCUGAGGUUUUGUUUGAAAUUCAGGAUAUGGAAAACGUAGGAACAUUAAAAACAUAACAUAGGAAAUAAUAGGAAUAUGAUAGGAUUGUAGGUUUAAAACGGAGUGAUUAUAAAGCAUAGGAAAACUGAGCAAACUAUUGUUCGGAAGCGCAAAGAAAAACUCAGAAAUCUUAUUCACUAAUAGAAGUAACUCGAUAACAUAUUAUCAAAUUGUACUUAGAUGGUACAAGCAACUGAUGUGUGGGCCAAGGAACAGUAAACCAUCGUUACAAAGGCCAAUUGAGUUGAUUUAUUUCUCCCUUUGCAUCGGUCCUAUAUAUGGAAAGCCAGCAAAAAAAAAAAAGAGGGACUCUCGACAUGACAAACGGCUCAAAAUUUUUUGGGUUUCAGCCGUUUUUUCUCACCGUGCGAUAAAUACACGCGUCACCCAUCCCCUCCCGCACAAAAAUCCCACCCGAGUAGCUGGUAGUGCGCUUUGCACAAACGGCACAACAAAAUCCCGCUUGUGUUUGUUUUGUCCGUGUGGGUUUAGUCCACAAAAGAAAAAGGCCCAUGACGUUUUAUCUUUGUAGAAAGCCCACAUCCCGCAAGGAGAAAAAAACCAAGGACUAUUUUUAUCCGUGUAAACAAGCCCAGAAAAAGAAGCACACAUCGUGCAACUCUUAUUUUUUAGGAACCCACAUCCUGGACUUCUUUUUUAGAGACACACAACCUGCACUUUUCUGUGCUGCUCCAGUACGUCUUGCUGCAUGAACCAUGCUGGUUUGGUUUUGUUAGUGAUAUGCUCUAGAGGCAAUCAUAAAGAUAAUUAUAUCACAUAAUAUGUUUAUAUAUUUAUCCGACAUUGUUCUUUAAAAUAGAUAACACAUUAUUGGUUAAUGAAUAUGUGAUUCUUUCAUGAGACUUUUUAUGUUGUAUGUUACUAUUUCUGAAGGAUCCCUGAUCAAAUAUCAUAUGUGGAACAAAUAUGUUUAAAUGAUCAGCACAUGUAUUAAUUGAUGAUUAUGUUUCAUGGAUCAUGGUAUAGAGAUACCAAAUUAAUAAUGUGGACACAUGUUGGGGAACAUGUUGUUGGAUAGACCCAACAUGAUACAUUGCAAGAGCCAUAUGUGUUGUGUUAUCAGUGAUCUCAUUUAGUGUUGGUGUUGAAUCCUUAGACCUGAGAUUAUCAUGGUUCCCAACAUAUGUAGUAUCUUACUUAGGGACUGCUAAACGCUACUCCGUAAUUGGGUAGUUAUAAAAAUAGUUUUCGGGUAUGCUAUGAAACAUAUAGUUAGAUAUGUAUAAUCAAGAUGGGAUUUGCUCCUUCUAUGGAGAGAUAUCUCUGGGCCCCUCGAUGUUAUAGAUUAUGAAAGUGCAUGGCCAUACCAAAGGUCAUUGAGGAGUCAAUCACAAGUUAUAUAUAUAAUAUAUCACAUGUUCGAGUGAAUGAUUGAGCUAUUAGAGGAUGUCAUAUAUCUAGCCUUGAGCUUAAUCGAUAUCAUGAGGCAAAGGUGUUCAUACAUGUAUACACUAGAUAUUCAGCCGAUAUGAUCUUUAUGUAUGCCCGGUGGGUCAAUACAUUCUGCUAGGGGCCACCGUUGACACGUGGACCGAAAAGGAGUUUUCGGGUUACAGCUGAGUGUACAUGAACCUACAGGAUUGCACGCUUAUUGGGCCGGAAUAAGGGGAUUAGAUGGAGAUCCAAUAUGAGCUUAAUUCGAAUAGGGAUCCGAGUUGGAGUCCUACGGACCUUCACGGAUCCUAUAUAUUUGUGAGGGGUAUGACCGGCGGAGGUAUUGCAUCACGUGAGAAAGCCUAGCCGCCACUCCCCUCCACGAGCAAAAAACCCUAGCCGCACGCGGGUGCUAGCACAUCUGCGCGUGGCGUUCCGUCCCUGUACGUGUGGAUACUGGUAGAGACGCCGCUGCUUUGCGGUGCUGAUCAGCGUGGGAGCACGGCGAGGAGAACGCACGAGGAGGAGAAGGUCGAGCCGGUGUGAUCGACUACUUCCUCUACAUCGACGCGCGCUACAUCGCGAGGGUUCCUUCGCCUUCUUAGCGCUUUCUUCCACUGCGCAGCGCGUCGAGUGGUAACGAUCUAUGAUCUAAUACUUGCAUGGUUCCUGAUUUACGCAGUAAUUUAUACUAUCGUAGCCUACGCGUGUCUCAACAGGUUUCACAUUUUUUUUUCAAGAAGUGUUCCUGCCAAACAAAAUAAAAAGGUUAUAUUAGGACGACAUGAUUGCAUACAAAUAUGGGGAGCAAAAUACUAGGUUCAGAAAACUGUCAGAGUUAAUUCUGAACUGUUAAAUAUGUUGAAAACUACGUUAACCCCAAAGAUGCAAUAUGGCGUGAUGCAUCAUUCAUGCUGAGAUGCAACAAACAUGUAUUGACGUUGUGUUGCUAUUGGAAAAUUACUAUUCUUGGCCUAGUUCUUUUUCCAAACUUCAAACUUCAACUUCCUCGUUUUUCAUUAGCACGUUUUUCAAACUAUUAUUAAAUGGUGUGUUUUUAAUAAAAAAGUUUCUAAGUAGAAGUUGUUUAAAAAAUUCCAAUGAAUCUAUUUUCUAAUUUUAUACUUCAAUAAUUAAUACUUAAUUAAUCAUGUACUAAUGAGCUUUCUCGCUAAAAAUCUCUCUCAACUCACCUAUCGAACGGGGCCAGUAGAACAAAUAAAGAGCAUCAGAUAAAGUAGCCCAUAGUCUCGCGCACCUUGCGCUUAGAUCGAAGGAGUCUGUAGUUUGGCGUCUUCAGGCGCCGGAGUGUGUUCAUAAUCUUUUAGCCCUCGAUUGUAACCCUAUGAUUGAUGAGUAAUAAAGCUUCAUGUUUCCCUCGCAAAAAAAAAAAAGAACAUCAGACAAUGUGUAGCAAGGAAAAUUGUGUAGUUGUUAUGACUCAAACUAAAAAUAGGUGCUAUGCAUGCACAGUUAUAGUCAAAUUUGUGGGCACAAAUUUUAAUUGCUACAUCAAGGAAAUUUGCAUUCGCAACUAUAGCAAAUUUGCAAGCACAGCUAGAAAUCUAUACCUAUAGUAUAAUUGGGAACUUCAUAGGAGCUCCCACGUUAACCAGUAAAAUCAGAUCGUUAAUUUGAUACAUCAUAUAAUCCUAACCAUUGAUUAUAAACUCUAAUCUACAUUAGCAUGAUGGGCCUGAUGUAAAGCCCAUCCAAUCAACCGCUUUAAUUAUAGUGAUGGGCGUGCGUUCCACUCCAGUCUUGCACCUAAUCUUCGUUUUCUUCCACAACCUUAUGUCAAUCAAGAGAUCAAUCAAUCCACUGCUCCUACUCUUCCUCUCAGAGUUCAAUCCAUGGUGUUUUUUUUUCCCUGGUCAUCAAUGAUUUGCAAAUAGUGAUAAUCAUUUACUCAAUUUUGAUGCAUCUUCACGUAGCCAAAUCAAAUAGCCGAUGAAUCAAAUUUAAAACAGAUCUAUGUAGGCCAUGCCCUAGCUAAUCUAGAGCAGGAAGUUUCAUGUAAAUCUCACACCUCCUUGCAAUACAUAGACAAUUGAUCUUCUGAUUUUAUCUGACAAUAGAUUAAAUAUUUCUUCUUUCCAGGUGAUUGCUAGAUAUUAUAAUUGAAUAUACCAUACCAGACAUGUUCUCUUACAGUUUUUGCCAGUACUUGUUUUCUUUAAUAAAGAACAUUUGUUGCAUGCCUUAAUACAAUUAUAAAUAAUAUUCAUUGGUUCAACAUGGUCCAGGAUAAUGUUCUGCUUAUAAUAUUGGUACCUUGGAAAAUUUGAUCUUCAAAACAAAAUGUAUACAAUAAUUUACUUCCCAAGCUACGGUAAAUAGCUUAAAUUCAUCAGUCAAUAUUAAAUUCCAUAUUUUACUUUUUUUUAAGGUGAUUGCUAUAUGUUUCUGCAGGGCACCAUAAUACAUUUGUUGACGGUUGUUAGCGAUCAGUUUCAAUCGUCAAUAUUACCAAAAUAGAGAAGAACUAGUUAUACUUGCAAUGCAUAUCCAUGUUAGUAUAAUAAUAUUCCACUAGUAUUAGAUUCACUAGCCUUUUAUAGAGAAUAACCAUUAAGUGGAGGAGAAUCGAUAUCAAAUCAGAUGAUAUAUCAAUCGGACGAUGUCGAGAAUCAAACUUAUGUAUGAAUGGGCCAAGAACUCAGAAAUGACACAACCAAUUGGGCCAAAAUUCACAAGUCUGCAGAGAAGAGAAGUCUAAGAGGCCACCAGCCAACUUGUGGGCUAGUUAGGCCAGCCCAGGGUUCGGCCGAACCAAUGCCAGCACCGAUGGAUGCAUGGUUUUGAGGGAACAGUGGAGAUUCACUCCCUAUGGCGGUUAGAGGGUAUUACCGACUAUUCCAACCGCCAUAACCGUCAUUAUAUCUACCUAUUUAAAGAGCUCCUCUUUCAUUUCACUCAUACACCUCAAGCAAAGCUCUCUCAUAUUCUCUCGAGUUUAGUUUAGUGUUCUUAAGCUAGUGGAAUAGGAAUAGAGUAGAAAUCGGAGUCCAGAAGCCUUCGGAAGAGUUCGGAUAUGGCUCUAGUAGCUCUUCUCUUCUCUUUUGUAAGCUUUGUACUAUUAUUAGAAUACUCUUCUUUAUACAUUUAUGGUAUUAAAAUACUUUCCGAGUAUAUGAAUGCCAACUUUAUAUUAUGUUUAUGUUGUACUGAUUAUACUGCUAGCUUAUCUGGGAGAUGCCUUGGUGCGGGUAUAAUGUUUUUAUAUGCAAUUACUCCAUGUCAUGACGAUGAUAUUAGAGUAGUAUCUGGUAGUUUUGGCGUGGUGUCUAGAUUACGGGAUAUCAUUAUUUGGGGUUAUAUGCUGCGGAUGAGAGGUGGGCCGCUGAUGGUGACAGCUCAGUACAGGUAUUCCUCUACACGUAUAUAUAGUCCUAAGUUAAUUUUCUGGGGAGGGUACUCCUCCGUAUUUAGCUUCGGUUGUAUGGUCAUGACGGACUGUCGUAAGGAACUUGGCAAUCAGGGGUGGCUUCUCGAAGCACUAGGAGGGUAUCGGAUAGAGGGUAUUAGCUAGUAUAUCAGAUAACUAGGAUAUAUGUAUACUAUGUAUACUAGAAGUAUAGGAAUAGAUUCUCGUUCUCUUUUCUUUCCACUUUGCUUAGAUAUUUUAGUAUGAGAAUGAGUAGCUCCAUGCUGUUGUGUCACUCUGCUUAGACUAUGAUUAUAUUAACCCCUGCUUAGACUAUGAUUAUUACAAGUAACAUAUAAAUUAUUAGUCAGGUUCUCUCUACCAUGAUCUUUCCACGGGAUUAAAUAAAUACGAUACCCUUGGAAUACUCUCGGGUAAAAUGCUACAAUGGUAUAUCCGUGCGCUUGCGGAUGAACUCUAUAACCAUAAUAUACUAGGAGGAUUUCUGCACCAUUGCUGGGAAUUAUAUUUCUGGCAAUGUCGUUAAGAAAUAUCAACAAGCAUUUCUGGCGCCGUUGCCGGGGACGAUUCAUAAUAGAGAUUACCAGAACUAAUACUGUAACAGCCCUAGGUCAAUUACCAGGUAAUUAGAAAUGCAAUUAUCAUCACUUAGGUUGCAUCUUUACUUUAUUGCAAGUAAUUACAUGUGAUAGCAAUUUAAACUUUAACCGGCAAAACCAAAGCAACUUCUAAAUGAAAAAUAACUUGAACAGAAGUAUAUGUGUUUAAUAUUUUAUUCAAAUAUUAGUUUAUUUAUCAUCACUAAAUAUAAAUUUUGUGGAAUUUUUACUCUCUGUUUAGGCCUCCUAAAAAUUCAAACCAACUUUCAGCCUAACCAAUUUCAUCUUUUCACCAGAUUUAAAACACUUGGAAUUUAUGUGUGAAACUUUGAAAAAUGGAACCUAGAAACCUACACCUAUCACCACACCAAAUUUCUACAUUUUUGAACUUGUUUUACCUAGUCAAAUUGAAUUUACCAAGAGAGGGAAAGAAAAUAAAUAUUGGAAAUUGCAAGAACGAAUUUAUACUCAGUUUUUCACCCACCUCUCUCACCCUCAUAGACAGCCACGACUUGGGCCCACUUGUCACUGACCUUGGGUGCCUCUUUAGCCCCACAACACACCCAUGGGCGUGCUCCCACCUCAGGACUUAAGGGGGUAGAGAAAACCCCAUCUUCUUCCUCGCCUUUCAUCUUCACUGCUUGUUCUUUCUUUUCUUCAUCAAGCUGAGCUCUCAUCUCACUUCUCCUCCCCAAAUCCCAUCCAAUAGCCUAAGAUCAAUCCCUGCAUGUAAGACCACAACAAUCCCUAUCAUAAAAACUUUGCAUCCAUCCCAACAUCUUGCACAUGCAUGGAGAGUUGAGAGAGAUCGAGAAGGAACAAAAGAGUGGUGGUUUCAGCCUGCAGGGCUGCAGCAGCAGCAUUUUGUUUUCCUCCAUUUGGUAAGCUUCCAUUUCAUCCAUGGUGCCUCUUUUGGAUUCCCUCCAUGUUGAACAUCUAUAGCAAUGUUCUAUAGGUUGUCCACUCCAUUGCUGCAGCUAGAAGGUGGCUGCAACUCACCCCGAGUUCAUAUCUUUUGAUUUCGGUUGAAGCAGCCCUAGGCAACGUCUCUUGCCGUCAGCCCAAGACCUUGCUCCAUCUCUUGCCAUCAGCCCGAGGCCUUAGCCUCGCAUGACCCUACGUCCAGGUUGCUACCAUGUGAGCGAAGUCCGAUGGAAGUUGGAGAAAAGGGGAGUGAAAAUAGAAAUCGAUUUCAAAGAUAUCUAUUGAGCUAAAAGAGGUAUGCGCUUUAAAAAUUCAUAACUAAUUCAUAUGAACUCCGAAUUCAGUGAACCAAAUUUCUGUGGAUUAAGAAAAACGUGAUCUUCAAUGUUGUAAAAUAAAAAUGACCAACUUUUGUACUGGUUUUCCCAGUAAAAAUAUAAAUAGCUAAUAUGUAUCCCUUGUGUGGUCUAGCUCUUAAUAAAUUCGCAAGAAAUUAUUGGUAAAAGCUAAAAUUGUGAAACCAAUUUUGUUGAGCUUAUAUUUUAGUACUCUUUGCUGUUGUGGUGUUGUUUUUGGCAAAAAUACCUCUUAAAUCUUGUUUAGCAGUUAUUUAGCAUUCCCAUGAUUUUAACUUGUAAAACCCAUAUAUAAAUGAGAUAAUCCAUGAAAUGCCAUUGACAAGCGUCCCAGAAAUGCCGUUAACGGCGCGGAAUGGACGGAACCCUAACGGCGAUGGCAUUUUUGGGACAAAAUCGUUUGUACGAUGGCAUUUAUUGGAACUCACACUUGUCGAUGGCAUUUCUGGGACUUAGACGCUUGUCAAUGGCAUUUCAUGGAUUAUCUCUAUAUAAAUAAUGACAACAGAUACAGCUGUGAAAUAUUUUUUCUUAGAACCUGUGAGUGAUGUAAUUUACUCUAAAAAUAAUCAUUAUUAUGAAAUCUUGGUUUGAAAUGCAUGUUACUUGUAAUGUACUAAAGGAAAUGUUAAUAUUUACAGAACUGCCAUUUUCAACACCUGAGAGCUUGUCAUUUUCAUAUCUCCCAAACCAUAAGUGAUAAUCUAGUGAUUCUUUCAACUAAAUUCAAGUUAAAAUAUGAUCUACCCACUAUAUUUAUUUCAUAAUUUAUUGAUCAUUUUGCAUGUGCAUGUUUAUUUGGCUCUUAUUCGCAUAUUACUUCUUUUCGAUAGAUUCGGAGAUUCCGGAGAGUAACGAGCCAUAUCCUGAGGAGGAUAGUGACUACCCUCAGCAGCAAGGCAAGCACCUAAGCAUAUAGAACCUGUGCUUUCUCUAAAAAUGAUUUGGUUGCAAUCUAUACGUAUAUAUAUAUGCAUGUAUUGCCUAGAUAUUAAUAUUGUCGAUUUAUGGUGUAUGGGUAGAACCUAUUUAUGCAUUUAGUUCUUGUGAUAUUGCUGUCCUUAUACCCCAUUACCAUUGGUUGGGAUUGCUUGGGAUGUCUUAUUCAUUAAUGCUUAGCCAUGCUUAGUGCUAAUAGAACUAUAGUGAUAGACAGUGCUAUUAAUUGUGGUAUAUAGACAACUUGCAUUAUUGGGCAUAAAACUUGAGCACUUACACUACUAAAUAAUGGUUGAUGAAAUAUGUUGGACUUGGACGGGUGAUAGGGCAAUGAUGGGAGGUUGGUUUCCCCUGAUGCAAGUAGCCCCGUCUAGGUUGUUAAGGACUGAACAUUUUGACAUCUAAUCAAGCACCCUACGUACUUAUCACAUGCCUUAUUUUGGGACCGGCUUGUUCUUACUAGUUCUAUUGUGAUCAUUUAUACCACGUUGGAGAGUUGUGAGGCAGGUAGCCUUUGGAGGGCCUCGGGUGCCUAGGUUUGGCCGGGGGUGCCUCCCGCGUGGCGCGCCCGCCUUGGUCACAUCACGCACGCACGUGACUGAGUCGUCGGGAAGGCUAGCGUGGUAUAGGUGGUUGGGGUGGGGCUAAGAAAGGGCAUGUAAUGAGCUUGAAUCACUUGUGUACCGCAGUUGACGGGGUGUGUAGCAUUUGAUCUUUGUUCAUUUCGUGUGGGACCAGUUGUACACCUCUGAUCAGAGUAUAAUCUAUUCGAAUAGUCGCGUCCUCGGUGAUGGACAAUGCUUGAUGUGUUAGUCAGUUAUGUUAGCAUCAAAUGUGGAUUAUUAUGGAUGGGAUUAUGUUCGAUGGUGGUGUUGGCAUGUUGUGCCAUGUUGGUAUAGACUUUGGUAGUCCAUGGUUGAUGAUGAGAGCGCCGUUUGGGCUCAUUUGCUUAUACAUUUCAGAAUUAUAUACUUGCUGUCCAUAAAUUAAAAUGAUGCUAGAUUUACUUAUCCUUGCUUAUUUUACUCAUUAAUUGCUCAAUAAAAUUAGCUUUAUGCAAAUGUUGAACCUAGAGACCCACUAUAGCCUAGAAAGCUUGCAUACUUCUCUCUCCCUUAUGUAUAUAUAAUUUUGGGUAAGACUUGCGAGUACAAUCUUGUACUUAACCCGGUGUCUGCAAUUUCAAGAGAGGAUUCCGGUUAUGAGUUAUGCUUCUUGUGUGGUAAUUGCUUAGACGAGGGCGGCGAGGGCAAUGAGUGAUCUCUUGCAGCUUGGCUCUUGCCCGGUUGGUUUGCAUUAGUGGGGUUGUGGCACCACCGGUUUUAUCUUUUGCUUAUGAACUCUAUUUGAGACUUCCGCUGCUAUAUUUAUGUGUUGUAUGUUGGGACCUCGGACCCUAUUAUGUGCCAUGUACCUCGCUGCACUUUAACCCUAUUAUGGUACUUGCUAUGUUUUUAAUUGCUUCCGAUGAAAGUGUGAGGCUAAUCACAUUCCUGGGGACUAGCUAAGCAUGAGUAACGAGUUUUGAUCGCUUGAGAUAAUUGGGGAUAGCGCUUUGGAUUGAGUCACUGGGGUAUACUUUUGGUCGCCACCUUCGAGUGGUUGACGGGCAUAUGACGGAGUGGACUGGCAAGCUAUCUUACGGUUAUGUCUUGCGCUCACUACUUGACAUUCCGGUUAUUAUAACAGAAGGUUGUCAACCGCGAUCAUGGACACAUUGAGGACGAAUGGCUAUUUAUGCGUAUAUGGAUCCCACUUCUCCAAUAGUAUGUGGUGGUCGCGUUGGACACUGGAUGGUAUAAUAUUCGGGGUGUCCCCAAAUACUUUAUAUUUACCUCUGUAUAAUCACUGCCCUUUGCAGGCUAACCUUGGUUGUUUUCACUUUUGUUGUGAAAACGGGGUAGUGCAUGACUGGUUUCAACCUACCGGAAAACUUUAAGGAAAAUCCAGAAGCUUUCUUCCGGAGCGUCAAGCCGCAAGUCAUCGCUCCGUAGAAAACUCUACCGAUAAAGAAACCAGCCAUACCAGCUUCACCGACCUUCAAGACCAUGGCUGAUAAGACCCUCCGUGAAUUCGCUGCUCCCUUUGCUGACAAUGUUCCAUUGGGCCGCAUAUCAACAUGGGAGAUGUGGAUUUCGAUCUAAAGUCCAGCCUCAUCACGAUGACACAUGCUAGCCCGUUCUGCGGCAAGCCUAAUGAGGAUGCCAAUGCUCAUUUGCAGCAGUUCCUGGAGAUUUGUAGUACGUACACCAUGAAGGGUGUCAGUCCUCCUUAAAGGCUCUUGUCUUUGCGCAAGCUAAAACCACUAAUGCCUUAAGCAAAAAGCUAGCUGUCAAUGACAAGGUCUUAGAGAACAUUAAUGUCAAGCUAGAUGGCUUCGCUUCUGCUUUCCAAAACUAGCUGAGCUUUACUAAGAUGAUAGAAACCCAGCUAGCUCAAUUGGCUUCAUAGGUACCUGCAAGUGAAUCUGGGAGAAUUCCGGGGCAGUCUGACUCCUCCAUUGAAAAUGUCAAGGCGAUCACAAUGAGGGGAGGUAAGUCCACUCGUGAUCCACCGUAUCCCAUGUUGAUGGUCGUUAUCGAUCAGUUUCGACCGUCAAUAUUACUAAAAUAGAGGAGAACUAGUGAUGCUUGCAAUGCAUAUAUCUGUUAGAAUAAUAAUAUUCCACUAGUAUUAGGUAUACUAACCUUUUGCAGAGAAUGACAAUAAAGUGGAGGAGAAUCGACAUCAACUCAGACGAUAAAUCAAUCGGACGGUAUCGAGAACCAGACUUACGUAUGAAUGGGCUAAGAACUCAGAAAUAACACGACACACUGGGCCAAAAUUCACAAGUCUACGGAGGAGGACAACAAAGGAGGCCGCAAGCAAAGAUGGGUUGGGUUGGGCCAGCCCAUGGUUUGGCCGAACCAUAGGGUUCGACGGAACCUCCCAUGGCGCUGAUGGAUGCAGGUUUUGGAUGGACGGCUGGGAUUGAUCCCCAAUGACAGUUGGAGGGUAUUAUCGACCAUUCCAACCGUUACAACCGUCAUUACCUGCCUAUAAAAGGAGCUCAUCUUCUCACUUCAAACACACACCUCAAGCAAUAGCUCUCUCAUAUUCUCUCAAGUUUAGUUUAGUAGUAUCUAGCUGGUGGAAUAGGAAUAUAGUAGAAAUCAGGAGUCCGGAAGUCUUCGGAAGAGUUCGGGUAUGACUCUAGUAGCUUUUCUCUUCUCUUUUGUACGCUUUGUACUUUUAUUAGAAUACUCUUCUAUAUACAUUUAUGGUAUUGAAAUACUUUCUGAGUAUAUGAAUGCCUACUUUACAUUAUGUUAAUGUUAUACUGAAUAUACGGCUUUUGUGCGGGUAUAAUAUUUACAUAUGCAAUUACUCUAUGUCAUGACGAUGAUAUUAGAGUACUAUCUGGUAGUUUAGAUGUGGUGUCUAGAUUGCGGGAUAUCAUUAUUUGGGGUUAUAUGCUGCGGAUGAGAGGUGGGCCGCUUAUAGUGACAGCUCAGUACGGGUAUUCCUCCGCGCCUGUAUAUAAUCCUAAGUUAAUUCCCUGGGGAGGGUAUUCCUCCGUAUUUAGCCCCGGUUGUAUGGUCAUGACGGGCUGUCGUAAGGAACUCGGCAGUCAGGGGUGGCUUCUCAAAGUACCAGGAGGGCAUCGGAUAGAGGGUAUUAGCUAGUAUAUCGGUUAACUAGAAUGUAUGUAUACUAUGUAUAUUAGAAGUAUAGGAAUAGAUUUUCUUUCUCUUUUCUUUCCACUUAGCUUAGAUAAUAUAUUAUGAGAAUGAGUAGCUAAUGCUUGUGUGUCACUCUACCCUUGGAAUACUCUCGGGUGAAAAGCUACAAUGUUAUAUCCGUGCGCUUGCGGACGUGCGCUUGCGGAUGAACUCUAUAACCAUAAUAUACCAGAAGUAUUUCUGCGUCAUUGCUGGGAAUUAUAUUUCUAGUAAUGUCGUUAAGAAAUACCAACAUCCUAACCCUAUAGGAACUAAUGGUAUCGCCAAGGAAGCACCAUCUAGUAAUUCGGCUGAUGAAGAGGUUCAACCAGAGAAGGCUGUGCUGCAGGAGUACUGCGACACACGGUUGCUGCCGUUUCCUCAAUGGAUUAGGAAACCAUCGGUGGACGAGCAGUUCACUCGUUUUGUUGAAGUAAUCCAGAAGAUUCACAUCAACAUGCCGUUGUUGGAUGCUAUGCAAGUGCCAACAUGUGCCCGUUAUCUCAAGGAUAUCCUCAACAACAAGAGACCGCUCCCAACAAAGGAGGUGGUCAAGCUGACGGAGCAAUGCAGCAAUGCCAUACUCCACAAGCUCCCAGAGAAGAAGAAAUAUUCGAGGUGUCCAACGAUCACCUGUUCGAUCGGGGCACAAUAGUUCGACCAAGCCUUGUGUGAUCUUGGAGCAAGUAUCAACGUCAUGCCCAAACACGUCUUUGACAAAUUCAACUUCACGGUAUUGGCACCAACACCGAUGCGCCUACUAGUAUUAAAUAAAUACGAUACCCUUAGAAUACUCUCGGGUGAAAUGCUACAAUGGUAUAUCCGUGCGCUUGCGAAUGAACUCUGUAACCAUAAUAUACCAGAAGUAUUUCUGCGCCAUUGCUGGGAAUUAUAUUUCUAGUAAUGUCGUUAAGAAAUACCAACAACAUUGUAUUCCCUCUGUUUCAUAAUGUAAGACUUUCCAGCACUGUCUACACUCAUAUAUAUGUUAAUGAAUCUAGACACAACAUCUAAAUAAAUAUGGACAAUGCUAGAAAGUCUUAUAUUAUGAAACGGAGGAAGUAUUUUAUAUAUGAUUCUAUAUAGUAUUUUGACCAUUAAUGACUGAGGAAUCAGACUACAUGAUAACAAUUUUCAAGGUUUCAUCACAAUGUCUACCUCUACAGGAAAUCAAAUAAUUCCAGAAAACACUGAGAAAUAGAACAGAGUUUUAUAUAUUUGCUCCGGCGCAUAUAUCUCAACCUUUCUUCAUUUUGCUCAUCUAGUUAUAUUUGGGAGUCGUACGGUGUGAGAAAUACGCGGGAGUAGAUCGUUGGGAAUCACAACAUCACAAGAUAAAUUUCGCUAGCGUCGGCGUGUAUCGAGGCACAUACAACAAGGUGUAGCAAGCGACAGAUCGAUUAAUUGCAGUCUGCAGACCAGUCGAAGCACACGUACCACAUCGGCAGCCAGCAGAUAUUCUUCAAAUAUUUAGUAGCUUACAUAUGUAAUCUACACAUGUUAGUUCUUGAGAAUAUCUCAUAUAGAUCAGGACUGCCAGCAGGAGGAAGCGACAUGGCGCAUAUACACAACGCUAGACAAGAUCUGCUCAGAAUACUCAGCACAAUUAUGUAUAAAUGUCGUAUUCAUAUACAUGUGUUUCGAACACUUUUGCAUCAAUAUUUCUCUUUAUAUCUACCGAAUUCAUGCCAUUUGUUUUUUUUAUGAAUUGUCAUGUUUUGGUCAAGGUAGUUUGAUUUUGUCGUCAAAAUUUAUAUUUUAAAAUUAUACAGUUCCAAUAUCUUAUUAUAUUUAUAAUAACUUAAAAUACUUAUAACAUUAUCUAUCUAUAGAAUAUUCAACUAUCCACAAAGAAGAACAUAGUAAGUUUAUUUUCAUUUGGAUAUUGCUAAAACAUUAGAAAUGCCAAACAGAUACAAUUCUAUACUUUAUGAGCUGCUAAAGAGGAUGCAUGAUAUAAUGAUGUUAAAAGAUAUCUCACAUCCACAAUAUAACGAUUGCAUUGAGUCUGAAUAGGACCACAAUUCCUGUUUACAAAAUUAAAUACUGAGGUUAUUAGCAAUAUAGGAUUUCUGGAAAAUAAUAUUAAAAAUAAAAGAAAAUACAGAAUAGUUUGGACAAAAGAAUAUAUUGUGUUUGUUCGAUUAGUCCAAAUGACUCUUUUUUAAAAAAAUAAAGUUACCCUGUGCAACGCACGGGUUAACGUCUAGUAAGACAAAAUACAACAUGGAGAUGCGUGCAAUUUUUCUGAUUGAUGCUAUGCAAGCACAUGUUCAGAAAAUCCAGAAAAUAGAUUGUGCACAUUAAGGCCCUGUUUAGUUCCCAAACCAAAAAAAUUUCACCCUUCACAUCGAAUGUUUAGACAUAUGCAUGUAGUAUUAAAUAUAAAAAUAAAACUAAUUACAUAGAUUGAAUGUAAAUUGCGAGUCGAAUCUUUUAAGCCUAAUUGCGCCAUGAUGCGAUAACAUGGUGUUACAGUAAACAUUUGCUAAUGAAGGAUUAAUUAGGCUUAAUAAAUUCAUCUCGCAGUUUUCAGGCGGAAUCUGUAAUUCGUUUUGUUAUUAGUCUACGCAAAUAUGUGUACGUAUAUCCGAUGUGACAUGCCAAAAAUUUUCAUUCGCGAACUAAACUAGCCCUAAAUCUACUUUUCUGAACUAGUUACUAUUUUCCUUUCAACAUACGGUUAAAUUUGUAUAAAAAAGCAAGGAGAACAUACAAGUUCUAAGAUUUUCAGAUUUCUGAAUUCGAAACAUGCACAGAACUGAACAUGGUCGGUGCUAACUAAUAAAACAUCAUCUUUAACUAAAUUUGCCAACUAAAAUUUCAGAACAUAAAUAACCACUAUUUGAGUGGAAAAUGCGCGUAUUGACCUAGUUACUAGUUACUAUUAACUGUUGAAUUUUAUGUUGGCAACAUGAAAUUUUGGAGAAUAAAAGCUGACCUGAAAAAAGAGAAUGAACAAAUGCUGUCCCAUUCUUUCUGAACACAGCCAUUUUGAACCCCUUAUCCACACGCAAGGAUUCCCUUUGGCACUAGUCGAAUCUGAACACGCCUUUCACGAGAAAAUAUCAAUGGUUGACAAAAACAAAUAUGAUAUUGAUAGCACUGUCAGUCUAUCACAAGCAUGCAUUAGCUACUCAGCACAAAAAUAUUAAAAAUUUAACAGUUGAUGUAUUAAAAAUUCAAUACAAAUCUACUGAAUCUCAUCCUAUCCCAAACUCAAGAUGCAUUACUUGGCCAAGAACCUAUCCUUUGCAGUACAUAGCUCACCUUCCCUACUUCAAGAAACACACAAUUUUACAAAAACAAUCACUCUGACUUCCCUUGUCUGAUAUAGCUAUUAGAAAAUUAUUAGUCCUAGUAGAGGACAAAACUAAGGAGAACAUGACAGGGGAGACUGCAGGAGAGGGAGAACAAAAGGAAGGUAAUGUACUAAGUAUUCUUUAUUGCUAACAAAAGUAAAAAUACUAUCUAUUCAUAGUGAAGUUCUAAAAUUACUAGUUUCCUCUAAAAUGUUCAGAACAUAAUCAUGCAAUGCUAACAUUUUCAGGAAAAGAUGCAGUGUUUGGAGGCUAGCAAAAUGGCAUGAUCAAGAAGGAGUUGGUGAUACUCAAAGUAUUUGAAAAACUAAAAGCUUACAUCAAUCAGUAUCUAGUCUUCUACUGCAUUAGGUAGCUAAAAUUCACAGAUAUCAGGCUUAGUUAACUUUAAUCUUCUACUGCACAAAUGUUUUGUUAUUCUCAAACGGUUUUCUUUUGGAAGCAUUGGUCAAAGAAGAUAUCACUGAGUGAUCUUAAGUGGUGGAGUAGAUAGCAUCAGCCGUUUCCCCCCUAACCGUACAAUCUGCGCAUCCCCAUCCUGUCUGCUACUCAUGUAAUGCGCGAAAAAACUCCCAUGCGCAUUUUUAAGUUUUUAUUUUUUUAAUAUUUACAGAAAUAUUAUACCAUCCCUGCCAACCAAAUGGAGGGCGGCAAGGUGUGCGCAUUUUGCACUGAGGUCCCUUGCCGCCCUCUGCAAGGAGGCAAAUGCAAUUUUCGCCCUGCCAAAAAUACAUUUUUCUAGUUUUUUUUUCAUCUUGUCUGUCUCUCAUGUCACCCUGCCACUCUCGGGGAGGGCGGCAGGGUCUACUUCUGUAAAUAUUUUCACCGGUACAAUAUUUCUAUAAAUAUUAAAAAUAAAAAAUUUAAAAUGAAAAAAAUUCUCACAUGCGCGCGAUUUGUUGCUUCAUCAUGUGGGUUUUGUUGGGCCAGAGCCAGCAGCCCGUCUUGGGUGGAGAAAAAAAAGCCCACAACGUUUUGUCCUCUGUAAAUAAAAGCCCACAGUCCUAGAAAAGUUGUGACUUUUUUUCGGUUUUAGAUUUUUUUUUAAUAUUUACAGAAAUAAUCUAUCGACCAAAAAAAUUGCAGAAAUAGCCCCUGCCGCCCACCUCUGGGGCGGCAAGCUGACGUGGCAAACGGGGGAGGAACGGGCGGUGACGGAGGGAGGGUUUUUUGCAGGAAAACCCUUGCCGCUCUCUGGUGGGGCGGCAAGGGGCCCGAAUGCAAAAAAGCCAGUCGGGGCCGGCUAUUUUGCAGGCAGCCCCUUGCCGCCCUCUAGCCGGGUGGCAGGCCUCGCUGCCUAUAAAAGGCCUGCUGCCCAGCCCCCAGCCCUCAUUCUUCUCUCCUCAAUUCCAGUGAAAAAAAAGAAGAGAGGGGAGGAGAAGAGAAGAAGGGGCGAAGCCCUGCCGGAUUCAGACGCCGAUUUCAGGUAAUAUUCAUAGAUCCUAUAUGUGACUAUUGAGUUAAAUAGUGUGUAUUCUUUAAAAAUUUGUUUGAAUAAAUGCAUUAUAUUUUUAGGGUUUUAGUUUUACUAAUCUAGAAGUGCGUAUUGUAGAUAUCGGUAACUACGUAGAUCUGCUAGUUUGGAAUUAAUACAUUACCGUUGCAUUGGCUUACACAAGAAGAUAUUACGUUGUAGAUGUUUAUUGCAUGAAAGAGUAAUAUGAUCUAGUUAUUUCGUUGACAGAUAUGUCGAACAAACAAAUAUUCCAAGUUUACCAUGGACCAGGAAACGUCCGUUACGGGCCAACUGGGGUAGAUCUGUCAGAUUUUAUUGUAUCAGAAAGGGGAAUUGAUAGACCGGCUGAGAGGAGUGUACCUUCUAUAAAAGGAUUGUUAAUGAGGGGCUUGAGAGUUGAUCCACAGACAAGUGACAUAACAAUCAAUGUUAUAGUAAGUCGGGCAACUGAGGGUUUUUAUUGGGAACUAAUGCCAGUUCAAAACUCUCGAGUGUGGAGAUGGUAUUUGGAAAAUGCAUUGCAACGCGGGUGGCCUCUAGCUUUGGUUCCGUUUGUUCACCCGAAGGAUCCAGGUGUGCAGACGAACAUGGAUGAUGGUGAGGGACCAAGUGCUGAAGUAAACGAGACUUCUGUGGAGGAGGUCAACGCACGAGAGGACGGGGGCGUAGUAGCUCUAGUGGGCAUUCAACCAGGUGGAGUGGCCGACGAGGGGGAGACUGUCGGUGCCAUUGUGGAUAAAAUGGAGAGGGAGGAUUCUGACAACGAGCGUGUAGAGGAAGGUGAUUCGUCAGAUGAUGAGACGGAUAUUAAUCCAGAAGAAUGGGCUAGUGAGGAUUUUUCUGGGCUGAUCGUCUCUGAAGAGGAUAGUGUGAGAUGGGAGUACAAAGAAAAUGAGGUUAUUCAGGGAGCGAUUUAUAGUAAAGCAGAAGAUAUGAAGGAGGCGGUAAAACAUUUUGCAGUGUCACUUCAUAGAGAGUUUUGGGUUGCCAAGUCGAACCGGUCGCAAUAUGAAGUUCGGUGUGUUAAGGAAAAAGAUGGUUGUCCCUGAAGAGUGCACGCGUAUAAGGGGAAAUGGAAGGAUUAUUGGAUAGUGUCAGUUGUUACCAAGCAUACAUGUUUUCUACCUGGUGUUCAGAAAUACCACAGGAACAUUACAUGUGCAUUUGUUGCAUCUGAGAUGUAUGCGCAUGUCAUUGAUAAUCUCACAUAUGAACCAAGGUCAAUAAUCCGACACAUUGAAGAGACAUACAAGUAUACUAUUAGCUAUGCCAAGGCCUGGAGGGCCAAACAGAAAAUAAUAGAGAUGAUAUUUGGAACUUACGAAGCCUCGUAUGACAAUUUGCCACGCCUGCUUGGUGUUAUCGAGGAAAGAAACCCUGGGAGCUCUUACAAAGUGAAGAAAUUACCCUCAAUUGAACAUCCUGGCAAGAGUGUGCUGCAAAGGGCGUUCUUAGCUCUACAUGCAUGCAAGAUGGCAUUCGUGAACUGUCGUCCUGUUCUCUGCAUUGAUGGGACAUUCUUGACAGGAAAGUAUCGGGGCCAGAUACUAACAGCAAUAGGGGUAGAUGGGAACAAUCAGGUAUUGCCCUUGGCAUUUGCUUUUGUUGAGAGUGAGAAUACCGACAGCUGGUACUGGUUCCUAAAAUUGGUUAAAACAAAAGUUGUUGGUAUGAGGCCAAAUGUAUGCCUGAUACAUGAUAGGCACGCUGGCAUUCUGCGAGCGAUAGGAGAGUUGCAGUUUGGGAGUAUGGAACGAGGAUACCCCGGUGUUUGGGAAGAUGUACAGAGUAGGUGGUGCAUGCAUCAUAUGGGAGCUAAUUUCUUCAAGCAAUUCAAGAACAAGGAGCUCAUGAACAUGUUCAAGAGGCUGUGCAAUCAGAACCAGGAGAAAAAAUUCAAUGAGCUUUAGAAGAGAUUAGAUGAGUUGACAGCCAAAUGCAGCGAUCAGCGUGCAGCGGCUCCAUCGACCGCCGUUGCUGACCCUCCUCAAGCUCUUGGACCUCUCCCAACGGAUAGUCCAACAUUGGUUAGAAGAACUGGAUUGGAGAUUCGGAAAUUUUCUCAGUGGAUUCUGCAUGAAUCAAAAGAGAAAUGGGCCAAGGUGUAUGACACAGGUGGUGCUAGAUAUGGAAUAAUGACAACAAAUUUGGCAGAAGUUUACAACUGGGUGAUGCGCGGUGUCCGUGGACUGCCACUAGUUGGCAUAGUGGAGUUCAUUUUACAUGGGACAUGCAGGUAUUUUAGGGAUCAGUUCCAGGCAGUUCUUCCCUCUAUGCCGAACAACAGCAUUUUGUUUGGAGCUUUCGUGCAGAAAAAGCUAGAGGAGUUGCGUAAAAAGGCCAUGAAACAUCGAGCUCUAGUGCAAGGUACCCAACAGCUCAUGUUUGAGAUACUAUGUCAAGAUAAGGCAGGCAGGGGUAUCUACCGCAAGAGUGAAGCAGGAGUGUGUUCUCAAAGCCGACGGCACAUGUCAUUGCUCUUGUGCAAAGCCGAAGCUGCUCCACAGGCCAUGCACCCAUGUCAUUGCUGCCGCAGCGGAGUGUGGCAUACCAGAUGCAGUAUAUGUGUCACAGUACUUCAGUAAGUAAGCAAUAUAUCAUACAUGGAGCGGUGAGAUUUAUAGUUUCGGCAUAGCUGGGGAGUUCACAGAGACUAACGAUGAAGUACUCAAUAUUCCUGACCCAUCGAAGCUCCGAGGUAAGGCUGGAAGGAGGAGGACUCGUCGCAUCCGCAACGAUAUGGACGAGUCGGAGGCUGGCAGGGUGAAGCGUUGCAGCAAAUGCGAUGAACAUGGGCACACCUACAAGCAUUGUCCUAAAGACAAGGAGAAACCAAGUGCGGCGGAGGCAGGACUAUCAGGAUCAGCAGCAGAUGGAGCUCGCCCUACGGGUGAAGGCACUACCUCCACUCGACCACGUCCUAGGCGUCGUCGUGCCACGCCUGGCUACGUGGUGUAGUUCUUAUGUUCUAUGUCGGCAUGUGGAUUUGCUUGUAAUUCGUUUCGAACUUAUCGAUGUGUUUAUGUUUCGCCGUGUAAUGCCAGACUUCGGCAUGUCAUGUCUUUAGGUCUCGUGAUGUAACGUCGGACUAAGGCGCCUAACGUCUUUAGGUAUGCUGAUGUAUGUCGGACUUCGACACGUAAUGUUAUGUUAUAUUAUUGAACUCUACAUAUAUGUUAAAUUGCACGUCAUCGUUAUGUACCACUAGUAACGUUUGCUAUAUUUAAAUAGCCUGUACUCUUGUUGUACAUAAUUAAUCUCAUGAUUUUAUUACUAUUUCAUAAUUUUGCAAGUUAUCUUUUGUUUUACAGUACUAUUUUUUGAAUUGUUCUAACACGAAACACUAUAUUUUUCAGAGAUGGCACGUCAGGAUACACCUCAGUUGUUGGACCCGGCGAUAGAUCACCGACACCGGUCUCACCUUACUGCGGUGCAGGGGGCUCAGCUUGGGACGAUCCGGGCACGGACGUGCGGUGAGCUACUCACAGUUCACGACUCCUUUGUCGAGAGGUACGAACAGUGUUUUACUAUAAGUUAGUUGCACUGUAAUAUUUUUUAUAAUGACAUUAAUUUGUUAUUGCAGGCUACGUGAGGCCGGCCUCCUACCGAUGUGUCGGCUGGUGGAGGCUGCGGCCGGCGACGCGGACCCGGCCAGACGAUGGACUGUGGACAGGUCCCUCCUAGCAGCUUUGGUCGAUUGAUGGAGGCCAGAGACGCACACUUUUCACUUGCCGUGCGGUGAGGUAGCCCCUACCCUACAGGACAUAUCGUACUUGUUGGGGCUACCGCUAGCAGGAGACGCUGUUGGGCCAGUGACCACGGCUGUGGACUGGCAGGACGAUCUGACGGCACGUUUCGCACUAGUACAGCGCGCACCGCACCUCCCGCUCGAGCCGUUGGCACACCACCGCAACACCGGACCUACGAAGAGGUGGCUGCUUCAGUUCACUGUGAGUGUUUUUGUACCGAAAUGACAAUCGUAUUACAUAUUUAGUCCGCAGUUAAGGUGCCUAACAUUUUAUCGACGGCUUGCUGGUUGAGCAGCUACAGGCGGAGGCCGACGAGUACUCCUACAGCCGAUGUUUGGAGGCGUACUUGCUCUGGCUUUUUGGCUGGGUGAUGUUCUGUGGCGGUCACGGGCACUCGGUCGACAAGGGACUCGUGCACUACGCCAGGAGCAUCGCCGACGCCGCGGUAGGCGUGGUGCCUCAGUGGAGCUGGGGUUCCGCGUUGUUGGCGGCUCUGUACCGUGCACUUUGUGAGUCUUGCACGAAGACGGAUCCCAGCGCGACCUUUGGUGGGUGCCCUCUCUUUCUUUCUAUCUGGGCAGCUGAGAGGAUUGCGAUCGGCCGCCCUGAGGUGGACCAGCACGCGUACGAGGAGUCACUGUACGAGGAGCGACCAGAGGUCGACUACCCUACGAUGGGUACUCUGUGGUGCUGUCGUCAGGUACGUUGCAUCGAUCUUAUCGUAUUGUUAAGUUAAUUGUUAAGUUAAUUGUACAUCACAUCGAUCGUCUCGUAUUGCAGCGCCGAUGGGCCCACGUCCAGGUUAGGCGGUCGUAUCCUGAGUUUGUUAUGGAGUUCGACCGCCUUCUGCCGACUGACGUCGUGUGGGAGCCCUACAGUGCCACGGCUACCCAGGCUCGUGUGCCGUUGGGUCUGUCCACACUCUGCACCAGGGACCAGGCGUACUGGAUGACUACAGUUCCGAUGGUCUUCGACAUCUGCGUUGAGCCUCACGCCCCUUUCCGCGUGAUGCGGCAGUUCGGCUUCCGUCAGCCCUUUCCAGUACCGUUUCCGACCACCGUCCCAGCUGCUGUUCACCGGUAAGAUCUUGCACUACGCUUUCCGUUGUUGCAUUAAAAUCUGCCUGUUCACAAUAAUUUGUAACAUCUGUCGUUUCACACUAAUAUUACACAUUAAUUCGCAGGUACUCGCGCAAGGGUCAGCAGUCAGCUGGCGACUGGCCCGCCAAGUUGGCGACUUUUGUUGAGGACUGGUUGCUCGCAACCGAGGAGGUCGUGGACCACGAGGGAGAGCCACACACUGAGGAGUCGUACCAGGCCUACCUACGCUGGUACCAGCCACGCACCCGUACUAGGGUCACCUUCGCUCCCUUGGAGCAGCAGCCCCACGUUGCGAGCACUAGAGACCUCUAUGCCAGGCACCGCGACCAGGACUUCGCUCGUGCUGUGAGUACCCUGCAUCGCACCAUUCCUUUAUGUUUUCAUGUCUUUCUCUUCGUCAAAUUUUACGAAUAUUUACGAACAAAUUAACCAUGCAGGUCGACGACAUCAACCGGGUCGUCGUUGACGGUUCAACGACGACCAACGUUUAGGCGCGGGGAUUCCGGUACCCAUAGAGGAGCACCUGACGAUGUACAUGCGGAUGGUGGAGUCGAUGCGCUCGAUUCUCCGAGUGCUCACCUGUCAUGCAGACGACGUUGCUCGGGCAGACGCAGCUGUACAGCGGCCACCCGUACCGACUGGUCCCCGUCCAGCUGCGCACGUUCCUAGGCCGACUCCCCCUCCGCACGGAGGUAAGUAUUUUUAUUACUAUUUCUGUACAUGCCUCGCACAUAUAAGUGAGCCGUUUCACUUGCCGAUUGCUUCAGGGUUUCGUGCACCGUUCAGCACCCCACCUUCCUCGGCUAGGCCUUCUGUUGUGCCCCCCACAGGUACUUAAAAAAACAACAUUACUUCGACAAUCAAUUUACAUACAUUUUAUGUCUUAGCUUACAAGGGUCCCGUUGUCGAUGUGUAGGUUUCGCCCAGUUCGCUAUGACGCAGGCCGCCCACUUCUCCCAGGCUGCAGGGUCAGUGUCUCAGGCAGCUGUGUCGACCUCGCACUCAGCGCAGUUCUGGCAGUACACUGGGACUUCGUCACAGGCAGCCGGCACGUCGAGUCAGGGUCCACCACUGGACCAUGCUGGGACCUCGUCGGACUGCUUGUUGCCUUCCACCUUCCUCUUCGACAUCACUGACUUCGACUUCGCUUCAGGCUCGACAGAGGACGUCAUCGGCCCCUCACAGCUGGGAGGCGCACCGCCGGUGCAGACGCAGGACCAGGCGUAGGCCACUCCUUCGCGGGACACUCGUGUUACCCGUGCUGUGCCACCGGAUCAUUUCACCUACUCCCAGGACCACGUGCGAGCACAGGCCCGGAGGAUCAAGCAUGGUUGCGGCGCGUGGCAGGGCCAGUAGAGCAGUCUUCUCUUUGUUUACUUGCUUCACUUUCCAGUACUGUAUGCUUGUGUAAUGACUACGUUGUUGUUAUAUGUGCACGAUACCUUUCGGCGCAUGCACGAUACCUUUCGGCGCAUGCACGACUACUUUCUGCCGCACCGAUGCAGCCUCCUUUAUUCGCGUGUGAUACGAGUAUUUGCCCGCCAUUUGGCGCAUACGACCAAUGUAACUUUCGGCGCCGAUCAUGCAUGUAUCUUUCGGCGCCAAUCAGGCGUACCCACCAUACCCCACCACGUUCACAUGUCAGGGGUAUCACUCGAUUUUUUGCGCCUAUAUAAGUCGCCUUAACGAGUGAGGCCUCACAAUCUUUCAGAACUCAGUCACAUUCAGUACUCUCUUCCCCACUUGCUUCAUUACAAAUCCGACCGACUUUCGUCAAUGGCUAGACGCCGAGGUGUUGAGGAUCCAAACUGGUGUAGCGAUCCUUGUGUAUACCUACUACCACCUUGGUGCCAGCGUCCUCUCUGCCUAUGCGGUGAUCGAUGCCAACUAAUGGCUUCGAGGAAUCCUGAUAUUCGAGGAAGGCGCUUUUUUAGGUGCCCUAACUAUGACCGUGAGGUAUUUUAUUAUCUGCAUAUGCUUAUUCAUUCCGUAUGGGCAAUCGCUUUAUUCUUCGUAACACUACUCUAUUCGACAGACCCGCACUACGGCUUGCGCAUACAUCGAGUGGGUCGAUACAGAAAAUCCCGUUCUCGACUUAACCACUUGUUUACAAGAAGGUCGCUGGUAUUUCGCAUCCGAAAGUACUGAGCAAUACUUACAGAGAAAAGCGGCUUAUGAACGACAAUGUCGUGAACAACAGAGCGACUGGCGGGUGCUAACUACGGCACUCCCUCCAUGGGAAGCCCGUCCAAGAUGCAGGUGUGGUGAUCAUUGUCAGGUUCUUCGUUCCAUAAAUCCUACAACAUUGGGUCGAAGGUUCUUUGUUUGUCCAAAUAUUCUUGACGACGAUUUUAUGGUAAGAAUAUUUUGAUUACAUGAAUCCUUAUUUUCUCACAACAUUUACUAACUUUGCUUGCUUUACAUCUAUUCUUUCCUCCUAGGAACCACCAAGGAGAUGUCAAUAUAGAGAAUGGAUAGACACCAGAAGGGUUCUAACUCCACCUAGCCGUGUUAUGCAGCUUGAACUACCAGAGCAAUACAGGGUUACUAAAGCGCGGUUUGAGAGAGGAGAGGGAUCCUCACGUAGGGGUUAGCUAUUAUCGGACAACUUGGCAUAUUGAAAUUUCUACUGUCAUGCUUCCUUGUCCCAUUACUACAUCGUCGUUGUGUUCAACUAUUGCACUACCUCUCUCCUAGUUCGAAUCUAAUAUCAUCUAUGUAACCGCAAUGCAAAUAGUUGUAUCAUGUUCAAAUUGUACUACUAUUUCUUCAUGUUACAUAAUUCUCCUUGUUUAAGUCCAUAUAAUGUUUCUACGACCCAGACUGCGAUAGGCCUAUAUAAAUUAUCCGAGUACUAAUACGUCGAAUAAGGUACAAAAUAAUACCUCACUUAACAUAUGAAAUUGCGCAACAACCAACUUCAAUACAUUUUUAUAACAAUAUUAACAAGUUUUACCAAUAAAUACUUCUUUAUUUAUUAUUAACAUAACAUAGAAAAAUCUUUUGGCCGUACUUUUUUCAUCUGGGUCCCUUGCCGCUCUCUAUUGGGGCAGCAAGGGACCCGGAUGAAAAAGUACGGCCGCAAGCUCUUUAUGGGCGGCCAAAAUUGCAAUUAGCCCCUUGCCGCCCUCUGUACGGGCGGCAAGGGCCUAAUCGCAAUUUUGGCCGAUGGCGGCAGAUGGCGCGGUCGAUCCACCGUCUGCCACGUCAGCUUACCGCCCACCAUUAGGGCGGCAGGGGCUAUUUCUGUAAUUUUUUUGGUCGAUAGAUUAUUUCUGUAAAUAUUAAAAAAAAAAUCUAAAAACGAAAAAAAUUCGAAAAGUUGUUAUCUGUGCAAACAAAAGCCACAACCCAGAAACGUUUUGUCAUCUCCAUUUGGUUUCUUCAACCAGAAAUUUGUGGUCUUUCUUUGAUUGUCAGAUCAGAAAAAAAGAGAUCAAAUCCAGGCUGGAAGAAAAGAAGAGAUCGACCAAAAGAGAGGAGCCAAAAUAGAUGGAGAAAGAAGAAAAAACUCAUAAAAAUCAUCGAAUAUAUUCAGAGAGAAAAAAUGGCUUCAUCUCUGAUCUAGAUGCCCUGCAAGCCUGCCUGUUGCAUGGCUGCUGCAAUGCACUGCUAUGCAUGAUUACCAAAGCCACCAAAUAGAAAUCUAAAAACAAUGGUGGUGUUUGAAUCGGCUGAAGAUGAAGAUUACUCCCUCCGUCCUAUAAUAUUACAACCUAGGACUGGAUGGGAUGUUUCAUAGUACAAUGAAUCUGGACAUGCAUCUAUCCAGAUUCGUUGUAUUAUGAAACGUUCCAUCCAGUCCUAGGUUUUAAUAUUAUGGGACGGAGGGAGUAAGUGUUUCACGCAAAACGAGGUGGUAAUAAUAUGUGAUUAAUUGAGUUUUAAUUAUUACAAACUUGCAAAAUGGAGUAAUAUGAUAUUUUAGAACAACUUUCAUAUAUAAAGUUUUCGCACGAAACACACCGUUUAGCCCUGCUUGCAGUGGAAUCGAAUGCAGCCAAUGUGUAACUUCUGCAUAGGGAUGCAGUACUGAAAAAUAUGGCAAGCAAUAUGACAAGCAAAUAUCAGCAUUAAGAACGAUUUCUAGUGGUUAGGCUAUGACAUAAAUAAGUGAUAAACUGAUUAAUAUGUACCAAAAUUAUAAAAAUAGAAAUCAGGCUUAUUUAGGAAAUGUCGACAAAAGCGAUACAAAAUGUUACUCCUAUCUACUUUGAGAUGACCAAAUAUUUUAUAAAAUUCUAUCUACAUGACCAAGUAGAUAGACUAGGAACACUCACUUUUAUUUUCUGAAGUAAACUUCGAAGUAAUCUCCCACUGCCCCGCACGCUGCAAGCGCUUCGCCCAAUCGCACGCCUCUAUGUCCAAGGCUUAUUUGCCUAAUCGUGGGUCCUCAGGUAGGCUUCUGAGCAUUAUAUCCUUGCUUAUCUCUUCUUCCGCUCCACCUCCGCCGCCGCAGGGCUUGCCAUCAGUUGUUGCUGCGCUGCUUUAUCGGCACGAAUUCUUGUAUUUGCUAUGUUUUCUGGUCAAACACCUAAAAAUUGGGCAACUUAGAAAUUAGUAACAAAAUAUGUUAGCUUUAGUAAAAUAUGGAACACAAUAGAAAGAUGUAGCUAAAAUUUAAUAACUGAAAAAGACAAAACAAAUAAUAUGAUUUUAUAGUUGCUAUCAUUUAGAUAGAACACCAGCUUGAUUAAUAUGUGGGAAGAUUUUAAAAUCCGACAAAGACAAAUAAGACAAACACCAACAAAAUACAAAACCGGUAGAUGAUAGGGCUAUGACCUAGAUAAUAUGAUUUCAUAGUUGUUAUUAAGAUAGCGCAUUAGGUUGAUUAAUAUGUAGGAAAAUUAUAAAAGUUGCAAAGACAAAGACAAAAUACAAACACAAUACGACAAAAGUUUAAAUUGUGAGAUGCUGACAAAACAAAAAAUGAUAAAAAAAUUUUAAAAUACGUUCGCCGCCAUUAAACGCAUCAUGGUCGCGUGCCGCGUCGACGCGAUUACAAAACUGGAAUGGGCUUAAGCCCUUCAUAUGAAAUUAAUAUAGUUUUCUCGGUAGAAUGCCAGGAACAAAGAAGCCCACUAAUUAAAAGCACUUGGGCGUUGGACCUUUUUCAGUGACUUUAAAAAAGCUCACUCUAUCAAACGAUUAAAAAAACAAUAAAUGGAUUUAAUCACAGGAGCAAAAAUCAUACAUGAUACAGGAGCAAAAAUCGUAAAGCAGAAAAACUUCAUCCAUGGCCUUGCCGUAUCCAUGACCAUAAGUUUCAAAUCCCUCAGACAUCAUCUAAUACUUUAUCUCAUGAAUGUUAUGCUUGCCAUGUAUAGUUCUACAAGCUAUCGUAUAAAACAGUGAGAAUUUUUAAUUACAGAAGAAGAGUACAACAUCAACCCAGUAGGGUAGGUUUCAGUGAUCUCACCUCAGCGGUUAUGCAAAUACUUGACAUCAGACCAGCAAAAUUUCAUCCAAGGCCUUGCCUCAACCCUCCCAAAAAUCUUAGCUUCUGAGGAAGCAUUCAACACAUUAUUAAGCAGUGGCAAAAAUAUAUCAUCCUAGAGCAAACAUCAAGUUGUUAGCUUCAAAAUGAAAUAUGUCUGAGAAAACAUCACUGUCAGAAAACCCCAAACCCAGCUAGAUAAACAUAAAGAUCCUUGAUCCAACUUAGGCAAGCAUAAAUGGUGCACGCAAACACCUAUGUCAAAGCAUCUAUCACAUGGAGGAACAACACUAGCUAUGUGCUAUAUUCAACAUGCUUAUAAAAUAAAAAGUAGGAAAUUAAUUCCUAUGGCUGGCCAUUUAUGUACUACAGAAACUAUGCUCAUUUCAUCUAAAGUAUAUUGUGCAAAAGAAUAGCCUAACAGCCAGAUAAACCAAUAGAUUUGUAGUAGACAGUGAACAUCUGAAUUGGAAGAAAUCAGGAUUUCUGAAAUUCAAGAACACACACAAUUUUUAUAGCAGAAGAUGGAUCAGCACCAAGUUUAUAGCAGCACCUUUAUUGUAACAGUGAACUAGUGUGUCGCAUACAUGAUCAGUUCCAUGUAACAAGAACUUGCCAAGUUAGUGUACUGCAUACCAGAACUUGACAAAAUAAAAUAAAAAUUUUAAAAUCUGACAAAAACAAAAAACAAAAAAAAAUACAAAUAUGAAAAAAUGACUUAUUUUGAAACAAAACAAAGGGACAAAACUACAAAUGGGACACACAAAAGGUAUUUCUUUGUAAAAAAAUUUUAAAAAAGCCCACAACGUUUUUUCCAUUAUGUUUGUUUCUGUCCGAUUGUUAUAUUUUUGCUACAUAUUAAUUAGGUUGAUGCGCUACCGAUAGUAACUAUAAAAUCAUAUUAUUUACUCCGUUUCAGGUUAUAAGACGUUUUGACUUUGGUCAAAGUCAAACUGCUUUAAGUUUGACUAAGUUUGUAGAAAAAGGCAAAAACAUUUUCAACCCAAGACAAAUUUAUUGUGAAAAUAUAUUCAAUUAUUGAUUUGAUUAAACUAAUUUAGUAUUAUAAAUAUUAUUAUAUUUAUCUAUAAACUUGAAACAUUUUGAUUUUGACCAAAUUCAAAACGUAUUAUAACUUGAAACGGAGGGAGUAGAUCGUAGCCUAUCUUCUGUUGGUUUUGUAUUUUGUCGUAGCCUAAUUUCACAACACUGAAAAUUAUUAGUUCAAUUGAACGGCAAGUUUAAUGGUGGUAGCUAUGGCUAAGGAGUUCACACAUAUCCUUAAUGAAGAGAUAAUUUUUGUGCAUGGCAUAAGAAAAUAAGGAUUGUCACUGGCAGUCUAUGAAUGUAUACAAAGUGAUUUGAGGGUCUAUAGAGAAGAAAGACUUGCUGUGUAAUAACUAUUUCAUCAAAUAGAAAUUCUAGCUCAAAGUUACGUAACAUGUUCGUCUUAUAUACAGACAUCAGGAGGAGAGUGUCUCAAACAAGAACAUGCAUAGAAUAUAUGAUUAGAGCAUACCUAAUCUUAAAAAAAGAUAUGCACAGAACAUCCUCACACAUAUCCUGUGAUUAAAUCUAUUUAUUCUUUUUAUAACCGUUUGAUAGAGUGAGCUUUUUUUUAAGUCACUGAAGAAGGUCCAAUGCCCAAGCUUUUAGGCUGUGUUAUUUCCCAUGGGUUAAUAAAAGCUGUGUUCUUUCCCAUGGGUUAAUCCAUUUUUCAAGUUUUUAUAACUAAUAAUUAAUUAAUCACAUGUUAGUCUGUCGCUUUGUUUUCCAUGCAGAGGGGAGGGGUUCCCAACCCCUCCAAAAGAACACUGCCUUAGUGGGCUUCUUUAUUUCUGGCAUUCUACGAAGAAAAGUAUAUUUGAUAUGAAGUGCUUAAGCCCAUUCCAGUUUUUUAAUCUUUUGUUGUUGCUGUUUUUUUCUGGACGUGUCUUUCUUGGAGAUAGGUAAGGCUAAUUUUUUUCUCAUAUAUAUUGAUAUGAUAUCUGUACUGGGAACUAAAACAUAUUUUUUUAUAUAGAUUACACGACAGACGCACAUGCACACAUACCACUACACACGCAACACCACACUCACACCCCUACGAAUACGUCACUUAACACAUGCUUUAAGAGACGAAAACCAGUGGCACAUCCCUGGUUUCACUAAAAUCCUGUUGAAAGUCCACCUGUAUGUGCAUAAUAUUUGUGGGCAUUGCUCCAUAUACAGUCAAAGUGGAAAGGUAGGGAUAAUGAGUGAGCACUGCAUUUGCUAAGCUCUACAUUGAGAUAAAUGACAUAAGUAAUUUGUAUCAGGGAUGUUGGUUCGUUUUAUAUCAUUGGGUUGAAAAAUGAAAGUGGAGCCCAUGCUUUUCAAAAAAUAUCAGCACCCUCCCACCUAGAGGAGCUGAUACAACAUUAUCAGUACGUAAGCAAGACCCUAUUUAGUUGGCGAGACGAAAAGUUUUGGCGUGUUACAUCGGAUAUAUGUACACACAUUUAAAAGAUUAAACAUAGUCUAAUAACAAAAUAAAUUACAGAUUCCGCCUGUAAACUGCGAGACAAAUUUAUUAAGCUUAAUUAAUCUGUCAUUAGCAAAUAUUUACUGUAGCACCAUAUUGUCAAAUCAUGGCGCAAUUAGGCUUAAAAGAUUUGUCUCGCAAUUACAUGCAAUCUAUGUAAUUAGUUUUUUUCUAUAUUUAAUACUUCACACAUGUGUCAAACAUUCGAUGUGACAGAGUGAAAAAUUUUUGUUUGGGAACUAAACAUGGCCCAAGUUAAAGACAUGAAUUUCACCCGACAUUGAAUUUCACUGAUCACUGCUUUCUGUUCCCGACAUGGCCUACUUUAUCAAUCACAAGCAGCCACCCUUAUUGCGAGUAAAGAAUAGUAGUGACUGUUUUGUUUUACAAAAUCAAGGUGUCAAAUUGGCAUUAUCAAUGAAUGGUACCUGACCUAAUGUUUUUUCCUGGGUUUCGGAUCUGUGAUGUGAAGAAAGCUGGAUGUGUAGCUCCGGAAUUCAGGUAUUGCUUUUUGUUCAGGGGUGUAGGAAUGUUUAGAAAACAAAAAUCUAAAUGCACUCGCACAUACUUCAUACAGGAGUUGAUAAUUGAUUAGCUAAGCAAAUCAUGUGGGGAUUCUGAAGCACAGAUUGAAAAAGAGCACACAAAAAGUUCAUUUGGAGGUUCUGAAGCACAGAUUAAAUCUAUAACAUGCGGGGAUGAAGCAAUCAAGAGGAUGAGGAUGGAAGAACCCAAGUUGGGCUUCAAAUUUUUUUUUGAAUUUGUUUUUUGUGGAUAGGUGAGGCCGUGAGGGCCAUUUUAAGCCCGUUUGUUUGUUUGUUGGGCAUCAAAUAUGUAUGAUAUUUAAGCCCGUUUGUUUUUUGGGCUUAUCUAAUAGACAAAACGAAAAAGGGCUUCAUGCUUUGAUCUGACAAAACAAACUGCAGAGAAACGCUAUGCUACGUGCAGCGCGCGCGAUGCAAACACGUGUUGAAUCCGACGUUUAGGAAUUCGGCUGUAAUCACAAAUAUUUUCAGCCGUGUGCCACAUAGACAGUCCAUUAAAUAUCCUUUUGGUCAUGAAUUAAUUCGAUGGACGUUCUCACUCGUCGCCGCAAGUCCAGUGGCCCACUGGAUGCUUCCAUCUCCUCCUUGAUAAUAUGGCUCUCUUCGUCCACAAGCGAAGACCGUCGGUGGAUCAGGCACCACAUGCUUGGAUAGGCAAACCAUGGCCAAUCCUUCCACAUCCUUGCAUCCACGAAGCAUUGCCUUCCAACCAUCCAAUAGUGACCUCACCCUUGGUUAUAUAAUGACGAAUCUGUGCAGAGAGAGCCUCAGUACUCAAGCCGGAGGCAGCACACUGCAACUUAAGUUUUUCUAUAGCUCCUAGCAAGCUAGCAAUGGCUCCCUCGGUGAUGGCUUCGUCGGCCACCUCCGUGGCUCCCUUCCAGGGGCUCAAGUCCACUGCGGGCCUCCCGGUGAACCGCCGCUCCAGCAGCUCGAGCUUUGGCAACGUCAGCAAUGGCGGAAGGAUCAGAUGCAUGCAGGUAUCAGAAACGAUACGUUUCAAUUUCUCCUUCAAAG
rnacentral:lncRNA from 1 species